GACAGAGGUGCCAAGCGUUAGGCGGAAUCACUGGGCUUAAAGCGCGUGUAGGUGGCGGCCUAAGUACCUUGUGAAAUCCUGCGGCUCAACCGCAGAACUGCUUGGUAUACUGGGUCGCUUGAGACAUUCAGGGGCAACUGGAACAAGCGGUGGAGCGGUGAAAUGCGCGAGAUAUCAGGAGGAACACCGGUGGCGAAGGCGGUUCUCUGGGAAUGUACUGACGCUGAGGAGCGAAAGUGUGGGGAGCGAACAGG
rnacentral:rRNA from 1 species